rnacentral:misc_RNA from 1 species
AAGUCGUAACAAGGUUUCCGUAGGUGAACCUGCGGAAGGAUCAUUAUUACGAGAUCAAAAUCGUAACCCUUUGAAACAUUGUGCAUUUGUGUCAAAACUCCGGUUGCAUUUGACCUCUGUAAUGGCUUUUGCUCCACACAUGCCCACACUUUGUUGUUUGUGUGUGUGGAGCCACACUUUCUGAGCAGAUGAAAGUGAAACACGCUUCUCGCAAGGGUGUUUGGGUCUGUCAAAUGUUUUCAACCGGUUAUCCUCUAUCUGCUCACCUCAUCAAACAAAACCAUUAUUAACCCCAAGUAACUAUUUUGAACUAAAUACAUCUGACUUGGUUGGACUGCUUAACUGUAGUCCCUAGUCUGAAUCAAAACCGAACUUAAGAACAACUCUUAACAACGGAUAUCUUGGUUCUC